CCUGAAUGUAAUUCAGUAACUAUUGCAUAAUCAUAUGAACAAAGACAGUCCAAAUCAUGCAAGGAACUUUCUAAAACUAGGAUGUUUUGGAAAGAUAUGGAAGUAUUGCAGGAAAAUUAUAAAAAUAAUGGCAAAUCAAAUUUAUCUUGAUUCUAUUUAACACCAAUGUUUCUAUAAUGAAAUUGAGUACAGAAUGUUUGAGGGAAGAUUAAAUAAAAAGUAAGGAUAUUUAAACUGGUGCUCCAAAAAUACAACAUUGUCUCAGAACACUGAAUGCAACGUUUGAAGUUUUACAAUGUUAAAAAAAAAAAGAAAAAGAAAAAAAAACACCACCUAAAGUAUUGUGAGCACAAAUAAAUAGACUUACACAACAUAGUCCAUUUAAAAGCUUUUUGAACUGACCAAAAAAUAUAGAAUUUUUAUAGAGCUAAACCUUCUCUCUCUUAUCUCUUGGGCAAAAAAAAAACAAAAAAGAAAUAGUGUAAUAACAAUUAACAUUGUUUUAAAGUAGUUUUAAUGAGUAAGUAGAGUUAUGUUUUCACUGCCUUAUAUAACUUCCUGUUCGCUGUCAGUUUGUGUGAAGCUAUUAUUACUUCAUUACAUUACUGGCUUGACACAUGCAUUAAAUCCACUGUGAAGAGACACAAAGCAGAAAGGAAGACACACGGUCUCUAUAACAAACUGUUACAGAAAAGCACCUGCAGAGAGAGAUUUAUGCUCCCUGCCUCACAUCCUGAGGCAGAUGGAGUGAAUCAUCAUUGCAGGUGCCAGUUUAUCUUCAGACUGAGGAGAAACCUGGAGACUAAACUGUGGCCUGAUGUGUAAUUGUGGCCUGACCAGAGUUUCUUACAACGAUGCCAUGCCUCGUUCUGGAAAUUGCAGCUACCUCAGGUAUUCUGCACAUUUUGAGAACUAUCUUUUGAGAAGUUCUGCAAGCUAUCCCGAAAGACAGUAUAAUGGAGACUAGGAAGUAUUCUGAAGUUGGUGUGGAUAAACAAAGAAGUUCUGCAGCACAUAACAAGACAGAGAUGUCAUCACAAGAUUUGUUAAAGGGUUAAGCCUAAAUUAAUAAAAAUAUAAUAAAAUCAAGCUACA
rnacentral:lncRNA from 1 species